GGAUUAAAGGCGUGUACCACCACCGCCACCUGGCUCAUUGCUUCUUUUUUAAAAAUUGUGUAUUUACUUUAUUUAUGUGCUUUGUGUUGGCCUGCAUGACUUUGUGUGUACCACAUGCAUGCAGGAGCCCAAGGAGGAGAGAAGAAGAAAUUGAAUCACCUGGAAUUAGAGUUAACAGUCAGCUGUGAGCUGCCAUGUGGGUGCUGGCAAUCAAACCUGAGUCCUCUGCAAGAGCAGUGAAAAUUUUGGGCCAUCUCUCCAGCCUCUACAACCAGUACUUCCUGAAGCUUCACUGGAGGCGUUUUGGGGAAAUGGGGUGGAUAUGGAAUCCAAGGCCUCACCCUUACUAGACAAGUUACUAAUGCUGUGCACAGCAAAUCUAUUUUCUUCUGCUGAUCCAGGACUCUUAAUUCCUGAAAAGUCAUAAUGGAUAUUUGGAAGUCUCAGUGACAUUCUACUGAGUGAUUGAUGCCUGUGCUCAGUAAAGAAGUCCAGAUGGCGAUCACAUGGUCUCGGCGACAUUUUUUUCUUUUUGUAA